rnacentral:rRNA from 1 species
UACGAAGGGGGCUAGCGUUGCUCGGAAUCACUGGGCGUAAAGCGCACGUAGGCGGCUUUCUAAGUCAGGGGUGAAAUCCUGGAGCUCAACUCCAGAACUGCCUUUGAUACUGGAGAGCUUGAGUCCGGGAGAGGUGAGUGGAACUCCGAGUGUAGAGGUGAAAUUCGUAGAUAUUCGGAAGAACACCAGUGGCGAAGGCGACUUACUGGACGACUGUUGACGCUGAGGUGCGAAAGCGUGGGGAGCAAACAGG